rnacentral:rRNA from 1 species
AUUGAACGCUGGCGGCAUGCCUUACACAUGCAAGUCGAACGGUAACAGGUUAAGCUGACGAGUGGCGAACGGGUGAGUAAUGUAUCGGAACGUGCUCAGUCGUGGGGGAUAACUGCUCGAAAGAGCAGCUAAUACCGCAUACGACCUGAGGGUGAAAGCGGGGGAUCGCAAGACCUCGCGCGAUUGGAGCGGCCGAUAUCAGAUUAGGUAGUUGGUGAGGUAAAGGCUCACCAAGCCGACGAUCUGUAGCUGGCCUGAGAGGACGACCAGCCACACUGGGACUGAGACACGGCCCAGACUCCUACGGGAGGCAGCAGUGGGGAAUUUUGGACAAUGGGCGCAAGCCUGAUCCAGCCAUGCCGCGUGCGGGAAGAAGGCCUUCGGGUUGUAAACCGCUUUUGUCAGGGAAGAAAAGGUUCUGGCUAAUACCUGGGACUCAUGACGGUACCUGAAGAAUAAGCACCGGCUAACUACGUG